CUACUUUAUUUUUAUGACCAGACGGCCAUGAGGAACACCUUAAUCAGAAAUAUUGAUUUAACUACAAAACUAGUUAGAUCUAAGUUACAUAUCACAUAUAUAAUUUCAGAUCUAACUUAUACAUGCUUUGCAUACAUCUCAUGUAUUAAAAUCUGAUCUAAUUAGCAUACUUUCAGAUCUGAUACAUCACAUGUAACAUCUAAAAAAUAAGAUUUAAAUUGAACUAUUCAAUAUAAAAUCUAUUCUAGACAGUUACUAGAAUAAUUCUACAACUAGUCUAGGCAU
rnacentral:lncRNA from 1 species